rnacentral:rRNA from 1 species
GACGAACGCUGGCGGCGUGCCUAAUACAUGCAAGUAGGACGCAGUUGCGAACGGGUGAGUAACGCGUAGGUAACUACCGAUUAGAGGGGGAUAACUAUUGGAAACGAUAGCUAAUACCGCAUACUAGUAGAUGGACCUGCGUUGUAUUUGCUAGGUGGUGGGGUAAUGGCCUACCUAGGCAACGGUACAUAGCCGAGUUGAGGAGGGUGUCGGCCCAACUGGGAACUAGACCACGGCCCAAAUCCUAAGGGAGGCAGCCAGAGGGAAUCAUCGGCAAUGGGGCGAACCCUGGACGAGGAACGGCGCGGGGGUGAAGAAGGGUUUUGGAUCGUAAAGCUCUGUUGUGAGGGAAGCGGUACUUACCCAGAAAGGGACGGCUAACUACGUGCCAGCCGCCGCGGUAAUAC